rnacentral:tRNA from 1 species
AAGAUAGACAUACAGGAACCGCUAACUCUUGUCACCGCACAUAAAAGUACGGCUCUCUUG